rnacentral:rRNA from 1 species
ACUGCUCAGUAACACGUGGAUAACCUGCCCUUGGGUCCGGCAUAACCCCGGGAAACUGGGGAUAAUACCGGAUAACGCACAUAUGCUGGAAUGCUUUAUGCGUAAAAUGGAUUCGUCUGCCCAAAGAUGGGUCUGCGGCCUAUCAGGUAGUAGUGGGUGUAAUGUACCUACUAGCCAACAACGGGUACGGGUCGUGAGAGCAAGAGCCCGGAGAUGGAUUCUGAGACAUGAAUCCAGGCCCUACGGGGCGCAGCAGGCGCGAAAACUUUACAAUGCGGGAAACCGUGAUAAGGGGACACCGAGUGCCAGCAUCAUAUGCUGGCUGUCCGGGUGUGUAAAAUACACCUGUCAGCAAGGGCCGGGCAAGACCGGUGCCAGCCGCCGCGGUAACACCGGCGGCCCGAGUGGUGAUCGUGAUUAUUGGGUCUAAAGGGUCCGUAGCCGGUUUGGUCAGUCCUCCAGGAAAUCUGACGGCUCAACCGUUAGGCUUUCGGGGGAUACUGCCAGGCUUGGAACCGGGAGAGGUAAGAGGUACUACAGGGGUAGGAGUGAAAUCUUGUAAUCCCUGUGGGACCACCUGUGGCGAAGGCGUCUUACCAGAACGGGUUCGACGGUGAGGGACGAAAGCUGGGGGCACGAACCGGAUUAGAUACCCGGGUAGUCCCAGCCGUAAACGAUGCUCGCUAGGUGUCAGGCAUGGCGCGACCGUGUCUGGUGCCGCAGGGAAGCCGUGAAGCGAGCCACCUGGGAAGUACGGCCGCAAGGCUGAAACUUAAAGGAAUUGGCGGGGGAGCAC